UACGAAGGGGGGCUAGCGUUGUUCGGAAUUACUGGGCGUAAAGCGCGCGCAGGCGGCUAUCCAAGUCAGUGGUGAAAGCCCGGAGCUCAACUCCGGAACUGCCAUUGAAACUGUUUAGCUUGAGGAUGAGAGAGGUGAGUGGAAUUCCCAGUGUAGAGGUGAAAUUCGUAGAUAUUGGGAAGAACACCGGUGGCGAAGGCGGCUCACUGGGCUCAUUACUGACGCUCAGGCGCGAUAGCGUGGGGAUCAAACAGG
rnacentral:rRNA from 1 species